rnacentral:lncRNA from 1 species
CUCCGAGAUUUUUAGGGUCCUUAUUUGAAAUGUCUUCUGGCACCUCCGCCUCUAGUGGUUCUGAAAGUUCGUCCGCCUCAGCCCCCCAGAACCUCCACACUGUAGUCGAACCCACAUCUGGGGCUGGGCCUCGCCCAGUUUUUGCAUCGGGUGCCAUUCCUUGUUCUCUGACUUCGGAUGAACUCCUACUGAUAAGGGUUCAGUAUGGAGUUCCUCCGGAGUACGAGCUAGAGCUUUCUGGUCCAUCCGAUCGGGCUAGCACUCCUCCACCUGACUGCUUCUGCUUGUAUCAGGAGGCCUUCCGUGCCGGACUCCGGCUUCCG